rnacentral:misc_RNA from 1 species
GGAUAUUAAGGAGUGCAAUAUGUAUUGGCCCACAACUAUUGUUUUAUCCCGCCACCCCUAAUGUGUUCAUUGCAUUGGUUAGCUUAAUUAUGUGUUGGUUAGCUUAAUUAUGUGUUGGUGAACUUGUUUGUUCUCAGUGUGUGUUUGAUGCAUUUGGGUUUUAUACUGGACUAAUGGUCAUGUAGGUUCUCUGGGGAUUGGGGAACUAACUGAGGAGUUUCUGUUGUUUUCUGUUUAGUGAUGGAUGAUUUGGGUUUUUUAUCAAUUUCUUAUUAGUAAGAGAACCAGCUUUAACGUCAGAUAUGAUUAGCAAAGAAGUCUAGCAUAUGCUCGGUGUAAAUUCUUGUUGUUGCUGUAUUAGCUGAUAUAUUUAUGCUUCCGUUCUUAAAUCUGGCAUUGGCUUUGAUGGCGGUCAUAGGAUAUUUUUAUAUGCUUAUGUAUGCCAUGCUAUCUUUUAUAUGAUUUUAAAACUGAUGAAUGCCUUAAAUGGAGAACUAAGUCAACUCUCAGAACUCAGCAACAGCUGUAAAUCAUUGUUUUCAGAUACAUGUUUUUGCAUCUUGAUAAGGUUAAAACAAUAAGGGUGAAAAAAUCGUUUGUUUUUCUUUCUAAUUCUGAUACAAUUUUUAAUACAAUCAGAGCAAUGAAUUUCAUUCUGAUGCAAUUAGACACAUUUAUUCUGGAAUUUUAAUUUCUAUAUAUGGACAGGAAAUUUAUAGGAUGUAGGAUUUCAGUUUGUGGAGUACCAAUAGCACCAUCAUGCAAAUAAGAACUUCGAAUUAGUUCACAGCUAAUGGAAUGCUUUAAUUGCAGGUAC